GAUGAACGCUGGCGGCGUGCCUAAUACAUGCAAGUCGAGCGAACAGACGAGGAGCUUGCUCCUUUGACGUUAGCGGCGGACGGGUGAGUAACACGUGGGUAACCUACCUAUAAGACUGGGAUAACUUCGGGAAACCGGAGCUAAUACCGGAUAAUAUUUCGAACCGCAUGGUUCGAUAGUGAAAGAUGGCUUUGCUAUCACUUAUAGAUGGACCUGCGCCGUAUUAGCUAGUUGGUAAGGUAACGGCUUACCAAGGCAACGAUACGUAGCCGACCUGAGAGGGUGAUCGGCCACACUGGAACUGAGACACGGUCCAGACUCCUACGGGAGGCAGCAGUAGGGAAUCUUCCGCAAUGGGCGAAAGCCUGACGGAGCAACGCCGCGUGAGUAAUGAAGGUCUUCGGAUCGUAAAACUCUGUUAUUAGGGAAGAACAAACGUGUAAGUAACUGUGCACGUCUUGACGGUACCUAAUCAGAAAGCCACGGCUAACUACGUG
rnacentral:rRNA from 1 species